rnacentral:rRNA from 1 species
CAGUAGCCGCGGGAAUACCGAGGGUGCGAGCGUUAAUCGGAUUUACUGGGCGUAAAGCGUGCGUAGGCGGCUUUUUAAGUCGGAUGUGAAAUCCCUGAGCUUAACUUAGGAAUUGCAUUCGAUACUGGGAAGCUAGAGUAUGGGAGAGGAUGGUAGAAUUCCAGGUGUAGCGGUGAAAUGCGUAGAGAUCUGGAGGAAUACCGAUGGCGAAGGCAGCCAUCUGGCCUAAUACUGACGCUGAGGUACGAAAGCAUGGGGAGCAAACAGGAUUAGAUACCCCGGUAGUCCCUGUCUCUUAUAC